UACGGAGGGGGCAAGCGUUGUUCGGAAUUACUGGGCGUAAAGGGCGCGCAGGCGGCUGCUCAAGUCAGGCGUGAAAGGCCUGGGCUCAACCCGGGAAUUGCGCUUGAGACUGGGCUGGCUUGAGUGCGGGAGAGGAUGGUGGAAUUCCCAGUGUAGAGGUGAAAUUCGUAGAUAUUGGGAAGAACACCGGUGGCGAAAGCGCUCUACUGGACUGCAACUGACACUCAGGGACGAAAGCUAGGGGAGCGAAUGGG
rnacentral:rRNA from 1 species